GUGCUUGCUUCAGUACAAAUACUAUUAAUAAAAUUGGAACAAUGCAGAGAAGAUUAGCAUGGCUUUGUGCAAAAAUAAUA
rnacentral:snRNA from 1 species